rnacentral:pre_miRNA from 1 species
AAACAGGUCACCUGGGGAUUUUGUUAAAAUGCAGAUUCUGAGGUUGUACCUGAGAGUCUGUAUUUUUAAUAAGUUCCCAAGUGCUGAUGCU